AUGGUUCAAUUUGCAAAAUACUGGAAUGGCAUUGAUCUCAUAAAAGAUGAUGAGGAUUUCGAUCAAAGCAACGUAGAUGCCGAGUGGAAACCAGAGUUCCUUUUUACAGCCAUAUUUGGUGAAACAAACCAAGUAAAGUGCGAGGAUCUACCUGGAAGAAUCAAAGAAUUCAAACCAGAAACUUCAAAGUUCUUUUCCACCAACAAAGAGGCCAAAAAUAAUGUAAAAAUCUAUUUCUCACUGACCGUGACCUCCAAAAUUAUUUUAUCUCCCUGUCACAGCAAAACUAUAUUUAGGCGCAUCCGGAGGGACAGUGAAAGCACGCAACUUACUGGAGCCCAACUGAAGGCAGUAUUUGGUCCAAGACCAGCACAGGCGAACAUACCACAUCAUAUGGAAAAGAGGGUGCUCGAUGACAUAGCAGAAAUCUGGCAAAGCAGACAAGAAUCAAAAGAGAGUGGUAGAGUAAUAUUAGGCCCAAACUUUGCAGAGAUAUUCAUUCCAAUGGAGCAUGACCGCUAUGUACUAUAUGUGCUGGACAAAUACAAACACAAAGUUCACAUUAUUGAUCCUCGAGAAACGACUCCAGAGGAAUUUGAGAAAGAAAAGAUAGACAUCGAUAAAUUGCAUCCAAAAGAAGCAUGUCGAGUUCUUCAGGAACAUGAAGAUGCUAAAAAAGAAAGAGAAAGACAGUUUCAGGAAUAUCAUGUUCAUAAAUCGGCAAUCGUAGCUAGGUUUAAAGAAGUCUUCAACAUCAUACUAGGACAAACAAUGAAUGCCAAGGGUACAAGAUGGCAGAUUCAUACCGUGCAAAAUGUUCCAGUGAUAGAAAAGGGAGAAUCAACAUUUGUUGUUUUAAAGCUUGCAUUCCUCUACAAUGGUGAAAAGUUUGUCGAAGACCUGGAAGAUUUGACAGUCGAAGACUGGAGGGCAGAGGCAAUGUACAUUCUAUUAAGUAGCGAGAUGAAUCAAGUCAAAGCUAGUGAAAUGGGUGACAAGAUUAGCAAGAUCUUCAGCAAAAAUGAAGACUAA
rnacentral:rRNA from 1 species